AAGAAUUGCAAAAAUGUCAGCGUGCAGAUUUUCUUGCUUUUAAGAGGUCUGACUUUAUAAAGAGGAAGAGAAAUAGAGUGGCUAGAAGAUGCAGUAUUUAUUAAGUGAGAGAUUUUUGCUGUUGGUAGAACGUGUUCUAUUGUGGUAGCAACAGUUGCAGCAGCUGUGAGGAAAUCACAGCCACCAACCAACCAACUGGAUAAAUCAAGGACUGAAGCUGGGAUGAAAAAGUAAGUGCUUAACAAUUCUGGACUCAACAGGUGUUCUUAAGACGGACUAGAAGAAAGAAGGAGCAAUGUUAUAGAGGAAGUCACAAGAAAGAUCUUGCUUUGAACAGCACAUAAAUACUUGGAGCAUAUUGCGGGAAACAUGCCACUCAUCUUAUUAGCUUUCUCUGGCUCCAAGCUCUGACGCUGAUCAUCCCGACAGUGUUUGCCAACAACAAAAGUAGCCUAUUGAUCACAUUACUUCUCUCUUUGGCAGCCUUUCUGCCCACGAUUACCUUGCAUCACUUGCCUUAAGUCAAAUGUCACAGAACAGACUUACCAGGGAUGUAUCUAUCUAAUACAGCAAAAUAAAUUACUA
rnacentral:lncRNA from 1 species